UCCUUUAAGGGAGACCUACUUUUCAUAGGUUCGGAGGAAUGUAGCUUCGGAUUUAUGAGAGGUCACUCUAGGUCGUUCGGGAUUCAAUUGAUAGGCUCUCAAUUACUGUCGGGGAAGGGGGCUAUUAGCUCAGGUGGUUAGAGCGCACCCCUGAUAAGGGUGAGGUCCCUGGUUCGAGUCCAGGAUGGCCCACUGGGAUGGGGGUAUAGCUCAGUUGGUAGAGCGCCUGCUUUGCAAGCAGGAUGUCAGCGGUUCGAGUCCGCUUACCUCCACCAAGAAGAGAGAAUAGAAGACAGCAAGAUAGCGAGUACCGAGAGGUAGUAGUUAUAUUGCUGUGUUCUAGGAACACAGCGAGACCCUUGACAACUGCAUAGAGAAAAAAGAGAGCCAAAGGUAGUCAGACAAAAAGAGUCAGACACGACGAGAAAAGUUGGUCAAGCUACCAAGAGCUAACGGUGGAUACCUAGGUACACAGAA
rnacentral:tRNA from 1 species